rnacentral:rRNA from 1 species
AUUGAACGCUGGCGGCAUGCUUUACACAUGCAAGUCGAACGGUAACAGGGUGCUUGCACCGCUGACGAGUGGCGAACGGGUGAGUAAUGCGUCGGAACGUGCCGAGUAGUGGGGGAUAACGCAGCGAAAGUUGUGCUAAUACCGCAUACGUACUGAGGUAGAAAGUGGGGGACCUUCGGGCCUCACGCUAUUCGAGCGGCCGACGUCUGAUUAGCUAGUAGGUGAGGUAAAGGCUCACCUAGGCGACGAUCAGUAGCGGGUCUGAGAGGAUGAUCCGCCAAACUGGGACUGGGACACGGCCCAGACUCCUACGGGAGGCAGCAGUGGGGAAUUUUGGACAAUGGGCGAAAGCCUGAUCCAGCCAUGCCGCGUGUCUGAAGAAGGCCUUCGGGUUGUAAAGGACUUUUGUCAAGGAGGAAAUCCCUAGCGUUAAUACCGCUGGGGGAUGACAGUACCUGAAGAAUAAGCACCGGCUAACUACGUGCCAGCCGCCGCCGUAACAC